UACACCUGUUCUCAUCCCGAACACAGAAGUUAAGCAUAUCAGCGGCGACAAUAUCUGGACUGGCUCCAGUGAAGAUAGCACGCUGCCAGGUA
rnacentral:rRNA from 1 species